AUUGAACGCUGGAGGCAGGCUUAACACAUGCAAGUCUAGCGAGCGGCGGACGGGUGAGUAAUUUCUGGGAACCUGCCUGCUGGAGGGGGAUCACUACUGGACACGGUAGCUAAUACCGUAUCCACUCAGAUGUGCCCAGAUGGGAUUAGCUAGUAGGGGGGGUAAUGGCGCACCUAGGCUACGCCCCCUAGCUGAUCUGAGAGGAUGACCAGCCACACUGGAAUUGAAACACGGUCCAGUCUGCUAAGAGAGGCAGGAGUGGGGAAUAUUGCACAAUGGGCGCAAGCCUGAGGAAGCCCUGCCGCGUGUGUGAAGAAGACCGUAGGGUUGUAAAGCACUUUAAACGAGGAGGCGUUACUCGCAGAAGAAGCACCGGCUAACUCCGGGCCAGCAGCCGCGGUAAUAC
rnacentral:rRNA from 1 species